AUGACUUGGAUUUGUAAAGACUUACCUUUUUUUUUUUUUUUUUGAGAUGGAGUUUCGCUCUUGUUACCCAGGCUGGAGUGCAAUGGCGCGAUCUCGGCUCACCGCAACCUCCGCCUCCUGGGUUCAGGCAAUUCUCCUGCCUCAGCCUCCUGAGUAGCUGGGAUUACAGGCAUGCGCCACCAUGCCCAGCUAAUUUUUUGUAUUUUUAGUAGAGACGGGGUUUCACCAUGUUGACCAAAAUGGUCUCGAUUUGCUGACCUCGUGAUCCACCCGCCUCGGCCUCCCAAAGUGCUGGGAUUACAGGCUUGAGCCACUGCGCCAGGCCCUGAAUUUGUAAAGACUCUCUGGCUUCUUAGUAAACAGUAAAGCCACUUGGGAAGCCACGAUAAUACAGGUCUUCCUGAGAAUGGCAUGCUGUAACGGGCGUUGAAGAUCAUACUGUAAUAACCAGAACACGGAUCUGAAAAAGUCUAUUACUUGUGAGUAUACACCUUCUUUCAUUUGUUCAUUAGGUAUUUACUGAGGACUACCUAUUGUCCUAGCCCCACAGAGAUGCGGUUUCCUUCAAGGUAGAAGGUGUGAUUAAAGUUUAGCAGAGAAAGUUUAGGAUACAGACAGAUCACAGCUAGCUAAAAGAGAAACACAUAUAGCAUAGAGCACUGUUCACACAAGAACUCAGCAAAUAUUUAUUGAGUGAUGUUUUGGCUCUGCAUCCCCACCCAAAUCUCAACUCGAAUUGUAAUCCCCCAUGUCAAGGGAGGGUCCUGUAAUCCCCAUGUGCCAAAGGAGGGACUGGAUCAUGGGGGUGGUUUUCCCCAAGCUGUGCUCAUGAUAGUGAGUGAGUUACCACGAGAUCAGAUGGUUUUAUAAGUGUUUGGAAGUUCCUCCUUCGUGCUUCUCUCUCUCUUCUGCCGCCAGGUAAGACUUGCCUGCUUUCCCUUCCACCAUAAGUUUCCUGCGGCAUCCCCAACCAUGCAGAACUGUGAAUCAAUUAAACCUCUUUUCUCUAUAAAUUACCCGGUCUUGGGUAUUUCUUUAGAGCAGUGCGAAAAAAGGAAUAAUACAUUGAGUGAUUGGGGUAGAGUCAAAUACAGUGGGAUGAGCAGAAAGGAAUGGGAAGAGUAUGGACUUUACUGUUAGAAAUGUCUGAGUAAAAACCCCAGCUCUGUCCCUUGAGCCAUGUAAUACCAGGCAACUUACGGGCUCAGCAAAAUGGUAGACAUUAGAAUUCAUAAGACUACAUUAGCCUUGAAAGAUGGGUAGGUUUUAGAUUUGUGGAACUAAAGGGAAGGGCAUUUAUAUCUCACUACUUAUCAGUGCAUACUUAGCUUGAUGCUCUCAGAAAUCAUCCUUUUCAUCUAGAAGCUCACAUUAUAAGCCAGCAGCACAGCAGGCAUGCUAGGAAGGUGCAGGCAAUGCUUGGAGUCACACAACAAUAAUUUCACACUAAUAAGAAGCAAAGAUUCCCACCUACUUUGCCCAUGCAAAAUAUUAUGAUUUUAUACUGCGAAGUCCUGAGUUGGGAGUUAUAUGAACAAAUGGAGUUGUCUCAAGUACUUCAGAAUCCUUGCAGUAGCUUCAAGAAGAAAUGUUAGGAGUUAACUGUGUUCUCCAGGAAACUCUAUGUUGAAAUCUCAGGCCCCAACACCUCUGCAUGUGACUUUGUAUGGAAAUGGGAUCAAUGCAGAUGUAAUUAGUCAAUGAGACUAUACUAGAGUGGGCCCCUAACCCAAUAUGACUGGUGUCCUUAGAAAAAGGAAGAUUUGGACACACACAGAGACACACGCGUGCACACACACACACACACACACACACACAGAGAAUGCCAUCUGAAGCUGAUGGCAGAGAUUGGGAUGAUGCAUCUACAAGUCAAGGAACUACCAGAAGCUAGGAGUCUUAGAACAGAUCCUUCCCUAACAUCUUCAGAGGGAAUAUGGUCCUGCCAAGAGACACUUUAAUCUCAUACUUCUAGCCUCCAGAACUGUAAGACAAUAAAUAUCUGUUGCUUAAGUCACUCAGUUUGUGGGACUUUGUUAUGGCAGCCAUAGCAAACUAUUAAAUGAAGUCUUUAUGGUUUUUAAGAAAGGAGAGAGAGAAUAUUUGAGGUAAAAAUAAGAUACACUGCCCGAGGAGGGAAAAGCAAAAACACAAGGAGCCAGCUGAAGAGAACUGUUCCCAGAGAUGAGUGUCUGAUACCGGAGCAGAUGUGUAGGUAAUACUGAAUGGAAGGAAGUUGAUCAGACAAAAUUUCCUUUGAACAAUACAUCAUAGUGACUCUAACAGAUAAGAUCUGUGCAUAAGAGACUGAUAUUGAGGGGUCCCCUAUAAUACAAUCAGAAAACUAAGCUUGUGGUUAGGAAAUAUCACCAAUUCACCUGUUGGUUCCAAAAUGUCUGGUAUAGCAUAGAGUUUAUUUACC